UUCUUGCCAAUCAUUUCUCCAUUUUUCAACAGACUUUUCGUUAUUUGGAAAUGGAAUAUAACAUACACAGAUAGAUAGAUUAUAUGUAUUAUAUUCUGUCCUCAUUUGGUUAAAUAUUGCCAUUUUCACAAUCCCUUUCACCCAAUUUUACAGAAACUCCUUUUUUCAUCUGUAUUCUGUAAACUAUUCCUACUAGCUUAAGCUUGGUUGGAUUGCUAGAUGCCUUGAAAUUGAGGCAAUGUUGAUGAUAUUUCUCUGUUUCUGUUCUUUCUGGACAUUUGAGAAUAACUGACACGUAUCUUGGCAGGGUGACCCAAGAUUAUCCCGGUUUGCAGCCAUGGUGGCUAUGGCUUCUCUUUUGCCCCCAUCAGUAACACGGAGCUGAGCCUCAAAGUAGCUCAGAAAUGGAGAGGGAAAGAGGCAACAGAGAGUUGGGGGUUUUUGUUGAAAGGGUGGUUGACCUUCUCUGUUCUUGCCAAUGAUUUCUCCAUAUUUCAACAGCCCUUUCGUUACUCUGGAAAUGGAUUAGAUAUAUUACAUUCCAUGGAAACUCUGUUUUUGGUUGUCUGUAUUCUAUAAACUAUUGCUGCUAGCUUAAUCUCUGUUGGAUGGCUAGAUGCCUUGAAGCUUGAAAGUGAGGCGAUGAUGAUAUUUCUUGGUUUCUGUUCUUUCUGAGCUACUUAUCUGGGCAAUUGAGAUUAACUGACCCGUAUCUUGGCGGGGCAACCCGGAAUAAUACCGAUUUUGCAGCCAUAGCGGCAAUGGCUUCUCUUUUACCCCUAUCAAGAACAUGGAGCUGAGCCACAAAGUAAGAAUCGUGUUGAUGUUGAUGUUUGCCAACCCUUUCUAGUAGGACUGUAGAAGGGCAUAUAUUUGACCCUUACCCCUUUUCUUUAUUAUCGGCUCAAAGAAUGAGGCUUUACAGAGAAUAUGGAACUUUUAUGGGUGGUUGCAAAUCUCUGCUUUGCCCAUGAUUUCUCUUUAUACUCAAUGCAACAGCCCCCUUUCACACACUCCGUGUCUGUGAACCGGUGUUUGUGUGUGUGUAUAUAUAUACUCCGUAAUCCGUAUGAUGUUUCAGCUAUCUAGCUAAGCUUUAGUGAGUUACUACCUGUAGUAAGUAUAUUAUUGGUAAUGUUAUUGCUGACUGCUGUGGACCA